AACAAAUGGGAUUCUCUUCCCUGGGGGCAAAAUAUGCUUCGCAUAGUGGGGGGGGCAGGUAUAGACAAAAUCUACCCCCCAUCUGGUUUAUAGACCCCCUUCAGGCCAUUUAGAGUUUCAUUGCACACAGGUCUCAGAGAUUUCCUCCCCAGGCUUGCCUUCCUGCCCUCCCCCACCCAAGUCCCCCUGGCUCCAGUUUUCUUCCUGCCCCAGCUUCUGGGCAUGGACUGUUUGCAAGGCCUCCCAGAGAGCGGGCCAAUGGGCGGCAGAUGCUGGCUAGGGCUUUGGUCUCUAGGGUGCCGGGGUAUAUUCAUUUGCUCCCCUCUCUCUUCUGGGAAGAAAGUGAGUGGGCAGUGCCUGUGUGUUGAACUGGUACCAACCUCUGCCUCUGCCUUCCAGAUUCUUGGUGCCACCAUUGAGAACUCCAGGAUUGUCCUGCAGAUCGACAAUGCCCGUCUGGCUGCAGAUGACUUCCGAACCAAGUUUGAGACGGAACAGGCUCUG
rnacentral:lncRNA from 10 species